rnacentral:rRNA from 1 species
GUAGGGUGCAAGCGUUGUCCGGAAUUACUGGGCGUAAAGAGUUCGUAGGCGGUUUGUCGCGUCGUUUGUGAAAACCAGCAGCUCAACUGCUGGCUUGCAGGCGAUACGGGCAGACUUGAGUACUGCAGGGGAGACUGGAAUUCCUGGUGUAGCGGUGAAAUGCGCAGAUAUCAGGAGGGACACCGGUGGCGAAGGCGGGUCUCUGGGCAGUAACUGACGCUGAGGAACGAAAGCGUGGGUAGCGAACAGGAUUAGAUACCCUGGUAGUCCACGCCGUAAACGGUGGGCGCUAGGUGUGGGUUCCUUCCACGGAAUCCGUGCCGUAGCUAACGCAUUAAGCGCCCCGCCUGGGGAGUACGGCCGCAAGGCUAAAACUCAAAGGAAUUGACGGGGGCCCGCACAAGNGGCGGAGCAUGUGGA